rnacentral:lncRNA from 1 species
UUGAAUCAAAUAGGAACCUUGUGGCAUAAUUAACAUCAAGCAGGAAUAGCCUGUAGGUGGUUGGUAAAAAAGAUUGAACUUAAUAACAAAGAAAUAAUUAAAGCCUUUUAUUUCGUUGAUAAAGUCUGCUGGAUAACAAAAACUUGAAAUAAGGGAACUCAAUAAACUAGGAUAUAUCUGAAAGCAGGUUGAAUAAGGGAACUCAAUAAACUAGGAUAUAUCUGAAAGCAGGUUGAAUAAGGGAACUCAAUAAACUAGGAUAUAUCUGAAAGCAGGUUGAAUAAGGGAACUCAAUAAACUAGGAUAUAUCUGAAAGCAGGUUGAAUAAGGGAACUCAAUAAACUAGGAUAUAUCUGAAAGCAGGUUGAAUAAGGGAACUCAAUAAACUAGGAUAUAUCUGAAAGCAGGUUUGAUUAGAUAGAAAGAAGGCCACGAUAUUCUACCCUGGAACAGGAAUAGCCUGUAGUUGGUUGGUCACAGGGUUAUUCUUUUAGAUGGCAAAGGGGGGGGAUUAUUUUGUACGGCAG